CUACGGGGGGCAGCAGUGGGGAAUAUUGGACAAUGGGGGAAACCCUGAUCCAGCAAUGCCGCGUGUGUGAAGAAGGCCUGCGGGUUGUAAAGCACUUUCGGUUGGGAGGACUGCUUCUAGCACUAAUAUUGUUGGAAGUUGACGUUACCUUCAGAAGAAGCACCGGCUAACUCCGUGCCAGCAGCCGCGGUAAUACGGGGGGUGCAAGCGUUAAUCGGAAUUACUGGGCGUAAAGCGCGCGUAGGCGGCUAGAUCAGUCGGGUGUGAAAGCCCCGGGCUUAACCUGGGAACUGCAUCCGAUACUGUCUGGCUUGAGUACAGGAGAGGAGAGUGGAAUUCCACAUGUAGCGGUGAAAUGCGUAGAUAUGUGGAGGAACACCAAUGGCGAAGGCAGCUCUCUGGCCUGAUACUGACGCUGAGGUGCGAAAGCGUGGGGAGCAAACAGGAUUAGAUACCCUAGUAGUC
rnacentral:rRNA from 1 species